rnacentral:rRNA from 1 species
GUCUAGAGCCAUACCCCCCUGCACGCCCUCGACCUCAUCUGGUCUUGGAAGUUAAGCAGGGUUGGCCUGGUUAGUGUUUGGAUGGGAGGCCCAUCAGGCCAUGUGAGUCCUUUAGGUU